AUCUGGGCGGCGGAAUUCAGGAUGGCGGGCGCGUCUUCGCGGCGCGUUCGUCGUUUGAUAUUUCCGUCGCCGACUCAACCCGCAGACGUCGCGACCUGUUCGCGGUCGGUCCUUGCUCGGAGGAGUCGCGUUCGAGUUUGUUGCGUGCGCGUUUCUGCGCGUCACGCGGCAAAGACGCGAAUCUCUGGCUGGCCGUCGGACAGUACGUUCAAACGGUGUCCGGUGUCGUCGUCUCGUACGCGCGCGCACCGGUACCGGUCGGCGACGAAUUCUUCGGGCCUCUUUCCGACCCGUCUUGAAACACGGACCAAGGAGUCUAACAUGCGCGCGAGUCGCGGGGUGUCGAGCGUACCACGGUGCGUUCGUUACGUUGCGAAACCCGUACAUGUCGAAGGCGUAAUGAAAGUGAAUGGGGAAGAUGGUGUUCCGAGUACACGUUCCGCGGUCAUUGGUACCGCGGCCGGACACCCGCAUUCCCGGGGCGUCUCAACGGCCCGUCGCGGAUGCGGACAGUCGUCUUUCGGGGCGGCUGUCGGUCUGCGACGAACCGA
rnacentral:rRNA from 1 species